UGGGUAAUAUUGCUCAAUGGGCGCAAGCCUGAAGCAGCGACGCCGCGUGAGGGAUGAAGGCCUUCGGGUUGUAAACCUCUUUCAGCGCCGAAGAAGCGAAAGUGACGGUAGGCGCAGAAGAAGCACCGGCUAACUACGUGCCAGCAGCCGCGGUAAUACGUAGGGUGCAAGCGUUGUCCGGAAUCAUUGGGCGUAAAGAGCUCGUAGGCGGUCUGUCGCGUCUGCUGUGAAAACCUGGGGAUUAGCCCUGGUCUUGCAGUGGGUAGGGGCAGACUAGAGUGAGGUGGGGGAGACUGGAAUUCCUGGUAGAGCGGUGAAAUGCGCAGAUAUAAGGAGGAACACCGGUGGCGAAGGCGGGUCUCUGGGCCGUAACUGACGCUGAGGAGCGAAAGAAUGGGUAGCGAAAAGG
rnacentral:rRNA from 1 species